UAUUGAUUAAGCUAUUAAGAGCUAUUGGUGGAUGCCUUGGCAUCGACAGGCGAUGAAGGACGCGCGUACCUGCGAUAAGCUUCGGGGAGCUGGAUAGAAGCAUUGAACCGAAGAUUUCCGAAUGGGGGAACCCAGUGGAGUUAGUCCUCCACUAUUCCUACCUGAAUACAUAGGGUUGGAAAGCAAUACCUGCUGAAUUGAGACAUCUAAGUAGGCAGAGGAAAAGAAAUCAAUUGAGAUUCCCGUAGUAGCGGCGAGCGAAGUGGGAAGAGCCCAAACCGAAAAUUUAUUUUCGGGGUUGUAGGACUAGUCAUAAAGCUUAAGUGGACUUAGCAUAAUCAUCUGGGAAGGUGAGCGAUACAGGGUGAAAGCCCCGUGUGCAAAGAGAAAGCUUAAGUGAGAUUAGCACCUGAGUAGGGCCGGACACGUGAAACCCGGUCUGAAUCUGGGGAGACCACUCUCCAAGGCUAAAUACUCGUCGAUGACCGAUAGUGCACAAGUACAGUGAUGGAAAGGUGAAAAGAACCCCUGUUAGGGGAGUGAAAUAGAAUCUGAAACCAGUAGCUUACAAGCGGUCAGAGGCCUAUAUCCCUUUUAGGGAAAUGGCUGAUGGCGUGCCUUUUGCAUGAUGAGCCAGCGAGUUAAGUUAUACGGCUAGGUUAAGGAAUAUACGUUCCGGAGCCGGAGUGAAAGCGAGCGUUAAUAGCGCUUACAGUCGUAUGAUUUAGACACGAAACCAAGUGAUCUAUCCAUGACCAGGAUGAAGCACGAGUAACAUCGUGUGAAGGUCCGAACUAGUGUAUGUUGAAAAAUACUUGGAUGAGUUGUGGAUAGGGGUGAAAGGCCAAUCAAACUUGGAGAUAUCUUGUUCUCUCCGAAAUAACUUUAGGGUUAGCCUUGACUUUCAGACUUUUGGGGGUAGAGCACUGGAUUCCCAAGGGGGCCUACCGGCCUACCAAAGGAAACCAAACUCCGAAUACUAAAAGUUAAGUCAGGAGAUAGACAGUGGGGGAUAAGCUUCAUUGUCAAAAGGGGAACAGCCCAGAUCGCCGAUUAAGGCCCCUAAUUCUAUGCUAAGUGAGUAAGGAUGUGAAGUUUCACAGACAGUUGGAAUGUUGGCUUAGAGGCAGCCACCAUUUAAAGAGUGCGUAACAGCUCACCAACCGAGAAAUUUUGCGCCGAUAAUAAACGGGACUAAGCAUAGAGCCGAAAUCGCGGGUGCCAUACAUUUGUAUGGCGCGGUAGGAGAGCGUAGUAUGUGCGGUGAAGAUAUACCGAAAGGAGUGUUGGAGCGCAUACUAGUGAGGAUGCAUGGCAUGAGUACACGAUAAAGGAAGUGAGAAUCUUCCUCGCCGAAAGCCUAAGGUUUCCAGGGUAAAGCUCGUCUUCCCUGGGUUAGCCGGCCCCUAAGCCGAGGCAGAAAUGCGUAGGCGAUGGAAAGCAGGUUAAAUAUUCCUGCGCCACCUAAAACUAUGGUGAUGGGACGACGAAGUAUGUUAAGCACGCGAACUAUUGGAUGUUCGUUUCUCUAUGAGGCCGCUCAGCAGGUAAAUCCGCUGAGAGAAAGCCAGGUAGGGGACAAGGGGAACCUUCGGGGGAACCGAUGGUGUAGCGCUAGGCUUCCAAGAAAUAGUCUCUAACCGUUGAUGGUGACCGUACCAAAACCGACACAGGUAGGCAUGAUGAAUAUUCUCAGGCGCGCGAGACAACUCUCGUUAAGGAACUCGGCAAAUUAUCCUCGUAACUUCGGAAGAAGAGGAGCCCCUUGGUGUGAUUCCCUUGCGGAUAAGCAUCGGGGGGCCGCAGAGAAAUGGCCCAGGCGACUGUUUAACAAAAACACAGCACUAUGCAAACUCGUCUAAGAGGAAGUAUAUGGUGUGAUGCCUGCCCAAUGCCAAAAGGUCAACAGGAGGCGUCAGCCCUUCGGGGCGAAGCGCUGAAUAUAAGCCCUGGUGAAUGGCGGCCGUAACUAUAACGGUCCUAAGGUAGCGAAAUUCCUUGUCGGGUAAGUUCCGACCUGCACGAAUGGCGUAACGAUCUGGGCGCUGUCUCAACGAGAGACUCGGUGAAAUUGUAGUAGCGGUGAAGAUGCCGUUUACCCGCAGCUAGACGGAAAGACCCCGUGAACCUUUACUGUACUCUGAUAUUGGCUUUUGACUUGUCAUGUGUAGGAUAGCCGGGAGGCUGUGAAAGAGAUUCGUCAGGAUUUCUGGAGCCAUCCUUGAAAUACCGGCCUUGACAUGUUGAAAAUCUAACGAAGCCCCGUGAAUCCGGGGUUCGGACAUUGUCAGACGGGCAGUUUGACUGGGGCGGUAUCCUCCUAAAAUGUAACGGAGGAGUUCAAAGCUUGCCUCAUCGUGGUUGGCAAUCACGAUUAGAGCGUAAAGGUAUAAGGCAAGUUGACUGCGAGACCAACGAGUCGAGCAGGUACGAAAGUAGGACUUAGUGAUCCGGCGGUGGAAAGUGGAAUCGCCGUCGCUUAACGGAUAAAAGGUACUCCGGGGAUAACAGGCUUAUCGCCACCAAGAGUUCAUAUCGACGUGGCGGUUUGGCACCUCGAUGUCGACUCAUCGCAUCCUGGGGCUGUAGAAGGUCCCAAGGGUUUGGCUGUUCGCCAAUUAAAGCGGUACGCGAGUUGGGUUCAGAACGUCGUGAGACAGUUUGGUCCCUAUCUGCUGUGGGCGUAGGAUACUUGAGAAGAGCUGCUUCUAGUACGAGAGGACCGAAGUGGACGAACCAAUGGUGUUCCGGUUGUUCUGCCAAGAGCAUUGCCGGGUAGCUAUGUUCGGAAAGGAUAAGCGUUGAAAGCAUCUAAACGCCAAGCCUCCUUCAAGAUAAAGUAUCCCUAUGAGACAACCUGAAGACGACAGGGUUGAUAGGCUGGGUGUGUAAGUACAGCAAUGUAUUGAGCUAACCAGUACUAAUCUGUCCAUUGGCUUAAUCUUUUUUU
rnacentral:rRNA from 1 species